rnacentral:rRNA from 1 species
CCUACGGGAGGCAGCAGUGGGGAAUAUUGCACAAUGGGGGAAACCCUGCUGCAGCGACGCCGCGUAAGUGACGAAGUAUUUCGGUAUGUAAGGUCCUAUCAGCAGGGAAGAAGCAAAACGGUCCCUGACUAAGAGCCCCCGCCAAACUACGUGCCAGCAGCCGCGGUAAUACGUAGGGGGCAAGCGUUAUCCGGAUUUACUGGGUGUAAAGGGAGCGUAGACGGUAUGGCAAGUCUGAAGUGAAAGCCCAGGGCUUAACCCUGGGACUGCUUUGGAAACUGUUAGACUAGAGUGCUGGAGAGGUAAGUGGAAUUCCUAGUGUAGCGGUGAAAUGCGUAGAUAUUAGGAGGAACACCAGUGGCGAAGGCGGCUUACUGGACAGUAACUGACGUUGAGGCUCGAAAGCGUGGGGAGCAAACAGGAUUAGAUACCCUGGUAGUC